CACGUAGGGCGCAAGCGUUGUCCGGAAUUAUUGGGCGUAAAGAGCUCGUAGGCGGUCCGUCACGUCCGCUGUGAAAACCCAGGGCUCAACCCUGGGCUUGCAGUGGAUACGGGCAGACUAGAGGUAGGUAGGGGAGAAUGGAAUUCCCGGUGUAGCGGUGAAAUGCGCAGAUAUCGGGAGGAACACCGGUGGCGAAGGCGGCUCUCUGGACCGAUACUGACGCUGAGGCGCGAAAGCGUGGGGAGCAAACAGG
rnacentral:rRNA from 1 species